UACGGAGGGUGCAAGCGUUAUCCGGAUUUACUGGGCGUAAAGGGCGCGUAGGCGGCCACCGCAAGUCGGUUGUGAAAUCUCCGGGCUUAACCCGGAAAGGUCAAUCGAUACUGCGGGGCUAGAGUGCAGAAGGGGCAACUGGAAUUCUCGGUGUAGCGGUGAAAUGCGUAGAUAUCGAGAGGAACACCUGCGGCGAAGGCGGGUUGCUGGGCUGACACUGACGCUGAAGCGCGAAAGCUAGGGGAGCGAACGGG
rnacentral:rRNA from 1 species